rnacentral:rRNA from 1 species
UACGAGGGGGGCAACUGUUGUUCGGAAUCACUGGGCGUAAAGGGAGCGUAGGCGGGCUUUUAAGUUAGGUGUUUAAUCCCGGGGCCCAACCCCGGACAGGCACCUAAAACUGGGAGUCUUGAAUAGUGGAGAGGACGGCGGAAUUGGGGGUGUAGCGGUGGAAUGCGUAGAGAUCCCCAAGAACACCAGUUGCGAAGGCGGCCGUCUGGACACAUAUUGACGCUGAGGCUCGAAAGCAUGGGGAGCAAACAGG